UACGUAGGUGGCAAGCGUUGUCCGGAUUUACUGGGCGUAAAGAGCGCGCAGGCGGUCGGAUAAGUCGAAUGUGAAAGCCCCUGGCUCAACCAGGGAGGGUCAUUCGAUACUGUUCGACUCGAAGGCAGGAGAGGGAAGUGGAAUUCCGGGUGUAGUGGUGAAAUGCGUAGAUAUCCGGAGGAACACCAGUGGCGAAGGCGAGUCCCUGGACAACACCUGACACUGAGGCACGAAAGCUAGGGGAGCAAACAGG
rnacentral:rRNA from 1 species